UUCAGAUUUUUCAUUCAUUUCACAAAAAAGCAAACCCUAGUAGAGUAACUCCUCUAUGAAAACGAAACCCUAGCCAAUUUUCCCCAAAUUCAUGGAGGCUCCACUGACAUCGGUGCCGCCUCGCCGCUGAUCUGAAUUCGCACGAUCACAGAGCUCCUUAUUCUAGAAAGAAGAUUCACUAUCAACCGUUCGAGUUCGUGUUCAUCAUCACAUCUCACCUCCGUUCGUAUUCGCAUGUUCAUGCUCGUGCUAUGGCCUCUCUGCUUCGUCUAAGCUCGGUCGCUCGCGCAUCUCUCGCCUCCGUCUCUGCUCGAGUUAUGCUUCCUGUUUACGUCGUCUCCCUCGCCCCUCUCCCUCCUCGCCGGCGCCACUGUUACCCUAAACAGAAGACUGGUAUCCUCUUCUUUGAGUUCAUGUUCGCAUUGCUUCUCUCUGCAAAUUCUCUUUGAAUUCUCUUCGAAUCUAUCAUUAAGAUGUCCUCUGUGAUUAUGUUGCAUGCAAACAACGUGUUUGAUGAUUUGCCUCAAAUAAAGAGUUUAAGCUUGCUGUCAUCGAUUUUGAUGAAUUAAUGAAAAGAUAUUAAUCAAUUUUCUAGACUUUGCAAUGUAAGUAGUUUCCGUUAUGAAACAAAAUAUUCUAGUUGGAUGAGAAUGAAGUUUAGUACAGAGUAAAUAAAUAUAGGAAUUUCACCCAUUUUGUCAUACUCCACUGACCCAACUAGUCAAUACAAUAGAGAAAGAAUUUUACUAGUAGGUCUAAAUUUUCAAAUUUCACAUUGAUGUCUGUUACUGUUAGAGGGGGCAUUGUGGCUGCUUGAAUUUAUGGCUAGUGAGACAAAUGUAUUUCCAAAUUUCCAAAUUUCACAAUCAAUUGUAUUUCUGUAUUAUUAUGUAGUUAGUGAUAUUACUGAUAUCCUGUUCUUGAUAAUGUGCAAUCACUAAUCCUUAUAUAAAUUCAAUUAUUCAUUUAUGAAUGUAUAUGCUUGACUAUAUAUAUUGGUAUUCAGAGUUGUUGCUAUUGAUGAAAACAAAGCCAUGGAACUUAUCAGAUAAUUUUAUUAUUGUUAUUGGGAUUGUAGUUGAGUGUGUGUUGGCAAAUUCAGUUUGCAAUUGUAGUUUUGAAUUGCAAUUUUAAACCAUUUUCAAGUGCUUUUCUUAAAUUGAGCUUAGUAGUUGAUAGUAUUGUAUUAAGUUUUCUGAUGUUGUUUCACAUUGUAAUAUUUUUAAUUUAUUUUCUUUUAAUUUUGUUGAUCAUUCUUUUAGUAUAAAGUUACUAUGAUUUUUUGAAAGAGCAAAUGAGAUGCCCUCUUCUGCUUUGUGGCUUUAUGUUUCUUAUACUAGACAUUAUAGAUUCUUUGUUUGUGGAUAAAUUGAUGACAACACUUAUUUAAUUAUAUACUCAAUUUUUUCUUAGAAUGUGUAAAUCCAAUUGUCCAUUUUAGACCUUCUUAUGAAUAGUUUUUUUUUAUAAAGUAUAAUCAGUUUGUUAGACUGGUAACUUGGAUAUAGCUUUUAUAAUUUCAUUGCAGAAAAUGAUAAAUUUUGAUUCUUUUUUAUUUGUAUGGUAGAAGAAAUUUCAAUGGCUUUUGAGCUUGCUUUUGUUUGAGCUUGCUUUUGAUUUUUUUUGGUUUCAUCACAUGUCUCUGUCAUAGGAGUGAUUCUAUUUAAAUAAUUAGAGGCUGUUGAAUUUAUAUAAACUUGAAUUAUUUAAACAAAAGCAUUACUUUUCGUGAAUUGCAUAUCUAUAUAAACGUGAAUGGCAACAUUUUGCAUAUCCGGUAAAACAUUACUUGUUUUUUCCCUUUUUUUUUAUGAUUUCAUUUACUUCCAUCUCUGAGCUAUACAUCUGACUUUACUGCUAUUUAAAGAGUUCCAUUCUAUUCAUAUUAAUCAUUUCUUAACAAAAUAAAUGUUUGAGCAAAUAAAAAGUCACUUUAUAUAUAUUUUGGAGAAGUAUGUUUUGUUUUAUGAAUAUCAAGUAUUCAAGUUAUGAUAAUGUAGAAAAAUUUGAAAGCCACUUUAUAUGUAUUACUCUUGUGUACACAUUAUGUGUACACCUUCCAUUUUUAAAUUUGAAAGUGAAAGUUAAGAAGAGAGAAAAAUUGCUUUAAGGUGUUCACAUAAGGUGUACAAUAAAAUAGUGCAAGUAUCAUUUCUCAUUCUUUGCCAUUAUUGUUACUUGCUAUAUCAUGACUAAUGAGUACACUCUUCGAAAAAUAUGUAAUGUUGGUUUGGCAUUAGAUAUUUGGUUGAAAUUCUAAAUACUGGAGUUGAUCUAUCAAAAUAAAUUAUCAAAAUAAUGUGCCCUUGAAUUUGAUCUAUGUCCCUCUUGUGUCCACCGCAGAAAGUUAUACUUUUAAUGGGAUACAUAUUUAGUCUUCUUGAUGAUAGAGUUGCCUUCAUUCUUCUUUAGAUAGUUCUUAGACAGAACCAUUUUAACUUUUACUACAUAUUAAUAAAGGCAGAAAAAUAAAAUAUAAAAAAUUUUAACAUAAUAAUAAGUCAAAUUGAAAUUCUGAAAUCAAAUUAAAGGGAAGUUAAGUGCUGAAUGUAUAUCUCUAUGGUCUGAUUUUAUUGCUUAGCUAUAAAUUAUGAUUUAUGCAAUAAGCUAAAUAUUUUGAAUAAAUUUGAAGUAUGGCUAUUAAUUUUAUUUUUAAAUGAUAGAAAAAGUUUACAUAGAAUAAAUAAAUAGUUAAGUCUCCUAGCUAAAUAUUUUAAUAUUUUUUUUUUGCAAAAUGGAUUCCAAACAGAAGAUAAAAGUUAUUGCCUGCUUGAUUUUACAUUUCGAAUUAAUGAAUGACCUUAUGGUUAAAUUGUUAAUGAUUUGUUAUAUUUUGAUUAUAUUGCAAUUGAAAAAAAAAAGAAAAGAAAAUGGAAUUAUAAUUAUAGUAGACAAGUAAUAAGAGAUGUUAGUGUUGAUAGGAUUAUUUAUUUUAGUGAUCUAGCAUGUAUAGAAAAUACAAGAAUGGAUAGAUGUGUCUUUCAUGCAUUGUGUAAUAUGCUUAAAAGGGUUGGAAGGUUAGAACCAAGUAGGAAUAUAGGUGUGGAAGAAAUGGUUGCCAUAUUUUUACAUAUUAUAGCACAUGACGUCAAAAUUAGAGUAAUAAAGAGACAAUUUGUGAGAUCUAAAGAAACAAUUAGUAGGCGGUUUAAUGAUGUAUUGCUUGUUAUUUUGAGAUGUCAUAAUCUCUUACUGAAAAAACCUCAACCAUUUAGUCAAGAUAGAAUGGAUGAAUGAUGGAAAUGGUUCAAGAUAAUUUAUCUUGCUAAUGUUAUUAAACCUAAUAUGCUUGGUGUGCUUUAGAAUUGAGUUAAUUGAUCUCAUUUUUUGAAUUUUAGAAUUGUCUAGGAGUCUUAGAUGGUACUCAUAUCAAAGUCAAUGUCCUUGAGGCUAAUAAGCCUAGAUAUCGAAACAGAAAAGGUGACAUAACAACCAAUGUGCUUGGAGUGGUUGCUCCUAAUAUGCAAUUUAUCUACGUACUAGCGGGUUGGGAGGGUUCAGCUGCGGAUUCUAGGGUAUUACGAGAUGCACUAUUUCGAAAUGGGUUUAGUGUUCCCCAAGGUCAUUACUACUUAUGUGAUGCUGGAUACAUGAAUUGUGAAGGAUUUUUGACACUUUAUAGAUGACAAAAAUAUCAUUUGAGUGAGUUUAAUCCACCUAAUCAACCCAGUACAACUUAAGAAUUUUUUAAUAUGAAACACUCACAAGCUAGAAAUGUCAUUGAAAGGGCAUUUGGAGUAUUGAAAGCAAGAUGGAGAAUUUUAAGGGGAAGAUCAUUUUAUCAUGUUAAGACUCAAGGAAGAAUUAUAACUGCUUGUUGCAUUUUGCAUAAUCAUAUUAGAAGAGUGAUGGUUGUGGAUCCUAUUGAUGAGAUAGAAGAUCAAAAUAUACUUGGAGUAGAUGGUGAGACGAUCCACCAUAUUGAGACGAGUGAUGUUUGGGGUAGAUGGAGAGAUCAACUUACACAAGAAAUGUGGAACCAAUGGAGGAGAAGACAUAACGCUCGAUAAUUGUAAUCAUUUUUCUAUGUGUGAGGCUAUCUAUCAUAACAUUGAUUUUAUUUUGUUGAUGUGUUUGUAUUCUUGUAUAAGAGUUGUGCAUGUAUACUUAUUAGUGCAAGUAAUUUUUUACUUU